rnacentral:piRNA from 1 species
UUCCUCAGAUAUCAUGACUAGAUUCUGAAA